GAAUUGCGGCCGUAUGCGCGGCUCUGUGGAGUGCACCUGGGGUUGGGGGCACUGUGCCCCCAGCCCCCUGCUCCUUUGGACUCUACUUCUGUUUGCAGCCCCAUUUGGCCUGCUGGGGGAGAAGACCCGCCAGGGCUCAUGCUGCUAGGGGGCGGCUUGGUUCUGCUGCUGCACCACAAGAAGUACUCAGAGUACCAGUCCAUAAAUUAAGGCCCGCUCUCUGGAGGGAAGGACAUUACUGAACCUGUCUUGCUGUGCCUCGAAACUCUGGAGGUUGGAGCAUCAAGUUCCAGCCGGCCCCUUCACUCCCCCAUCUUGCUUUUCUGUGGAACCUCAGAGGCCAGCCUCGACUUCCUGGAGACCCCCAGGUGGGGCUUCCUUCAUACUUUGUUGGGGGACUUUGGAGGCGGGCAGGGGACAGGGCUAUUGAUAAGGUCCCCUUGGUGUUGCCUUCUUGCAUCUCCACACAUUUCCCUUGGAUGGGACUUGCAGGCCUAAAUGAGAGGCAUUCUGACUGGUUGGCUGCCCUGGAAGGCAAGAAAAUAGAUUUAUUUUUUUUC
rnacentral:lncRNA from 1 species